AUGCGUAUUUUGUGUAUUUUGUUUUCAUUGGUAAUCUUCGGAUUAAUAGUUCAUGUAUUGCCAACAACCACCACACCAAAUGUGCCUGUUUCCGCCGCUACGAACACUUCAAACGUGACCGCUCCUACAAAAAGUCCUAAUGCGACCGCUCCUGCCGGCAAUUCGACGAAAAAUGUAAACGUGACCGCUCCUGCCGCCAAUACGACGCAGCUUGCUCUUGUGAGCUCGGCGAGCCCUCAAACCUGCAAAAAUGGAAACGGCACACACUGCCCGUCAUGUGCAUACAUGAUCAAUGUUCACAAGGACACGCCGAAGUACAUCGGAUAUGGCAUCCUGAUCGCCUUCGUCAUUUUCCACAUUUUUUUGUAUUUCUACCUCGAGGAUCAGAAGGCGAGGGUAAGUGAAAUUUUGCCAGUGGCCUAGCUUUUUAUUGAUUUAAGUUAUAUUUAAUGAAAAGCGAAUUGCGUACUCCACGUGGACAACUUUCAACAUACGAAACCUUCUUUUCAGGAGCAGAAGAAGUAUUUUGAAGAGCUCAUCGCUGAGCAGAUGGCGGCUAGGAAGCGAGAAGAACAAGACGAUCAGCAGCACGAGGAUGAGGAGAAGGAACGCCGAGAGCGGUUGGCUUAUGGAAUUGCCGCGAAUCCGUAUGUGGUAGCAGAGAGCAAGACUCCCAAUGGAAACGUCACAAAAGUGAUGGAGAAACGACGAUCCGCGGUGGCCCCGCCCAUCACACCAGCCCUCGGAGCAGGCUCGACCAACGGACCAUACGAGAGUCGGACCAAGACCGCUCAAAAGGAAGAAGCAAUGAGCUGUCACUUGCAAGUGAUCGCCGACAAUUGGGGACGUGGAAAGGAGCUCAUUUCGCUCAUCAAUGAUUUGGAUCUCCCUGCGCCGCUGGUGACGACAGAGGAAAAGGCGCGGUACGCUUUGGAGCUCGUGCAACAUCAUGUGGAGAAAAUGACCGAGCAGAAGGUUUUCCUGCACGGAUAUCUUGAUGAUGGACCGCCGUUCGUUUGCUCAUCGGAGACCUUGGAGAAGGAGAUCUUCAGCGAUGCCCGUCUUGAGCUGAAGCUUGAAUUGACGUCACCGGUGCACAUGAAGAUGGACGUGUUCUCUGUGAAAUUGGAGCCACAACAGAAGACAGUGCUGCCAGAACCCACCAAGGAAACGCCGAAAACCGACGCUCUCCUCACACCGGGAUCUCAUAUUAAGGGAAGAUCAAUGGCGGCUGAAUCGUCGAAGCGCAAAGCCCCGAAGCUGUCCACUGAUUUGACGAACUUGGUCCCACUGCUCCAACAAGCUCAGAUGCUUCCAGUCACCGAAAAGGCCACCAAGGAGAAGCUCCAGACUCCGAAGCAAUCGCCAAUGCCAGGCACUCCGGAAAAUACGUCGCUCCCACCGUCCUUGAUUAAGAAGAAGAAGAAGGAGUCGACAUCGGAACAAGCAGCGCCGGAAGCGGUCGUCACUGUGGACAAGCCACACGAUUGA
rnacentral:misc_RNA from 1 species